GGACGUGUGACCGAGUGGUUAAGGUGAAUGACUUGAACUCAAACGUUCCAGAUCAUUUCUCGAAAGAGGCGGAGGUUCGAACCCUCCCGCGUUCG